GAGAACCACUGAGGUAAAACAUUUCAUACCCAGUGGCCCUACAGGACUGUAGCCCCUUGAGCCCAGAAGCUCCUUCCCCUUCCUUCUUCCUGCCAGCCCUGAGGUUUCACUUUCACUUCCCAGCCGGCUGGUCAGGAGCUGCUACAUGCAGGCCCAGCGCCUGUUCCCUGUUCAGUCAGUAAAUGCUGACCACGCCCGCCCUGACUUUGCUUCGCCACUAAAAUCAGGAGUCAAGACUUCUCCGCUGGGGCCUCAAGGAGUCUUUUAAGCAAGAAGAGCCUCGGGAGUAAGGACAGGAAGAAGCCAGGGGACACGUACGAUGGCUUUAAAAAUCCUGAACAUACAAGACGAGGUGUUCUGUCCCAUCUGCCUGGAGCUUUUGACAGAAUCCCUGAGCCUAGACUGUGGCCACAGCUUCUGUCAAGCUUGCAUCACUGCAAACACCAAGGAGGCAGAGAUCAGACUAGAAGGGGAAAACAGCUGUCCUGUAUGUGGUGUCAGAUACUCCCUUGAAAACCUAUGGCCUAAUCAGCAUCUGGCUAACAUAGUGGAGAAAAUCAGAAAGGUCCAGUUGAGCCCAGAGGAGGAGCUGAAGAGAGACCUCUGUGUGCGCCAUAAAGAGAAACUCCUGCUCUUCUGUAAGGAAGAUAGGAAGAUCAUUUGUUGGCUUUGCGAGCGGUCUCAGGAGCACCAUGGUCACCACACAUUCCUCGUGGAGGAAGUAGUCAAGGAAUGUCAGGAGAAGCUCCAGGCUGCUCUGGAGAGGUUGAAGACAGAGCAGCAGAAAGUUGAAAAGCUAGAAGCUGACAUCAGAGAAGAGAGAACUUCCUGGAAGUACCAGAUACAGACUGAGAGACAAAGGAUAAGAACAGAAUUUAAUCAGCUUAGAAGCAUCCUGGACAGUGAAGAGCAGAGAGAACUGCAAAAAUUGGAAGAAGAGGAGAAGAGAAUACUGGAUAACUUGGCUGAGGCUGAGGAUGAUCUGGCUCAGCAGAACCAACUGGUGAAAGAACUUAUCUCAGAUCUGGAGCAUCGCAGUGAAUGGCCAACAGUGGACCUGCUGCAGGACAUGAGUGGAAUCAUGAAAUGGAGUGAGAUCUGGACACUAAGGAAGCCAAAAACUGUUUCAAGAAGACUGAAGAGUUCCUUCCAUGCUCCAGAUCUGAGGGCAAUGCUGCGCAUACAUAGAGAGCUAACACAUGUCCAGUGCUACUGGGGGAUCUGUGAGCAAGAAGAGCCACAGAAGUCAGGACAGGGAGCAGCUGCUAUGGCUUCUGAACUCCUGAAAUGCUUACAGGAGGAAGUGACCUGCCCCAUCUGCCUGGACAUCCUGACACAGCCCCUGAGCCUAGACUGUGGCCACAGCUUCUGCCAGGCCUGCAUCACUGCAAAGACCAAGGAGUCCACGACAAACCAAGGAGGGGAGAGCAGAUGCCCUGUGUGCCGAAUCAGGUACUGUACUGGGGAGCUGCGGCCUAACUGGCAUGUGGCCAACAUAGUGGAGAGGCUCAGAGAGGUCAAGGUGAGCCCCGAGGAGGGGCAGAAGAUAAAUCUCUGUGAGCGCCAUGAAGAGAAACUCCUGCUUUUCUGUAAGACGGAUGGGAAGAUCAUUUGCUGGCUUUGCGAACGGUCUCAGGAGCACCGCGGUCACCACACGGUCCUCAUGGAGGAGAUUGCCCAGGACUACCAGAAGAAGCUCCAGGAAGCUCUAUGGAAGCUGAGGGAAGACCAGCAGGAAGCUAGGAUGUUGGAAGCUGGUAUCGGAGAAGAGAGAACUUCCUGGAAGAAACAAAUGCAAACUGAGAGACAAAGUAUCCAGGCACAGUUUAAAAAACUGAAGGACAUCCUGGAGUAUGAGGAGCUGAGGGAGCUGCAGAAUUUGGAAAACGAGGAGAAAGCUGUUCUAGGCAGGCUGGCUGAAGCUGAGGAUGAACUGGCCCAGCACAGCCAGCUGUUGACCGACCUCAUCUCGGAUCUGGAACAUCGGCUGCAGGGGUCAACGAUGGACAUGCUGCAGCCCUACAGGAGUCUGUGAGCAAGAAGAGCCUCAGUUGUCAGGAAAGGAAGAAGCCAGGGGAGCACUGCCAUGGAUUUUCUAGCACAGGUAAACUUUAAGAGGGAGUUGACCUACCCCAUCUGCCUGGAGCUUCUGACAGAGCCCCUGAGCCUGGACUGUGGCCACACCUUCUGCUGAGAUUGCAUCACUGCAAAGAACAGGGACUCACCAAGGAGGGGAGAGCAACUGUCCUGUGUGCCAGUGCAAAUAUCAGCUUCAGAAUCUCUGACCUAACCACCCUCUGGCCGGCAUUGUGGAGAGAGUCAGGGAAAAUAGGAGCCCACAGAAGAAAAAGUUCUGUGAGAAUCAUGGAAAAACACUCUGUGUCUUCUGUAAGGAGCAUGGGAAGGCUGGUUGCCAGCACACUGCAGUGUCUCAGGAGUAUCACGGUCAUCAUAUAUUCCUCACAGAGAAGGUGGUCAAGGAAUGUCAGGAGAAACUCCAGGCAACGCUGAAGAAGCUGAGGAAGGAGCAGCAGAAAGUAGAAGAGCUUGAAGUUGACAUCAGAGAGGAGAGAGAUUCCUGGAAGGCAGGAAAAUAUUUCCUGAGGGAGUUGAGGCAGGAAACAAGGCAGCAUCUUAGUCCAGUCACAAGGAGGCCCCUUUUUCUUGGUUACCUCACAAUUAAUGAGUUCAGAAGAUAUUUGAUUAGUCCUCAUUUCAUUCCUUCCCUGUUGGAAUUGGGUUCCAGAGGGUAGACAUAUCACAAAUAAAACCAAAUAUUUGGAGGUGAAGGCAUAGGAGAAAGCCAUGUAAAAAUGACUAAUGAAUCUCAUGUUCCAUAUCCAUCAUCAAGUUUGAGGCACUAAUACUUCCAGAAAACAUACUGAGAAAAGCCCAGUGUUCCCUAUUUAGGAGGUGUGGGUGGAAGGGCUUACUAUACAGUGUGGCAUGAUUAUCCAGGACAGAUAUCUGCAAGCCAAGCCUCAUCCAGGUGUCAUAUUGUGUCUGAGGGUGGGCCCUGCUAAAGUAGACUUUAAUAUAUUCCUUUGGAAGAAACCCAAAGGAAAGUCAUGGGGAAAUGGCUUUCUCAGUAGUUGCUCACUACCUCAUUGAGAAGUCCCUGAGGAAGAUAAUUCUUGUCUUGGCUCCCAGGCCCAGACAAAGUAGGCCCUUGGCCAAACAGACUGCCUCUUUCUCUUCCCAUCCCCGAAGAAUCAUAUGCAGACUGAGAGACAAAGGAUUCUGAAAGAGUUUAAUGAAAUGAAAGGCCUCCUGGACAGCAAGGAGAAGAGGGUGUUGCAAAAGCUGGAGGAAGACAAAGUAAAUGUGUUGGAUAACUUGGUAGUGGCCAGAGACCAGCUGGACUGGCAGAGGCAGUACUUGAGAGGGCUCAUCUCACACAUUGAGCAUCAGAUAUGGGGGUCCUCAGAAGACAUGAUGCAGGAUUUGAUUAAUGUCAUGAGAAGGAGUGAGAGCUGGAUUUUGAAGAGGCCAAACAUUGUUUCCAAGAAACCGAAGAGUACAUACCAAAUUCCAGAUCUGAAAGGGACGCUGCAAGUGUUUAAAGGUAAGGAGAGUCAGAGGAAGGGUGUGAGUGUCAAAUUGUUGUAGUAUUGGAGCAAAAUGGGGAAGAGGAUGUGGUUUCUAGAUGAGGAUAAAAGAGAGGAUGUAGGCCUGACAAGCGGAGAUAGAUAUAUUGUGUGGAAGAUGAGAUCAUAUCUAAGGGGGAAUGGUCAAGGUGUCUGAUUCAUCAUUUCAUUCACCAGUUGAUAGCCACACAGGGCCUCGUGCCUCCAUUCUAGUGAGAAGCCAAGUAUCAGGGUUUAAUCCCUUUGCUUUUAACAACAUCAUUGAAACUUUUGUCAUUUCAGAGCUGACAGAGGUUCAACGCUACUGGGGUAAGAAGGAGUUACAGGUUGUUCAAACUGCCAUGUUCUGAUCCCUUUUAGAAGUUGUGGUUACUAUCAGGUCCCAUGAUCUUAGCUUCAUGUGCUCCCCCCCAAACAUGCAUGCAUACAACAGUUCUUAAGUGUGCUACUCAUCUCUGACCCAUCAACAUGAGUUCCUCCCAGUCAGUUCCUGAUGUUCCACCUCAAAUGUCACAAGACACACCUGCUCUGUAUCCUUCACCCAACCCUGUCAUUUUUCCCACAGUGGACGUGAUGCUGAAGCCAGUCAAUGCUAUUUUGAAUAUUACCAUUUCUGCAGAUAAAAGACAGGUAAAAGGCAUACAAGAUUUCUCUCUUCAAAAUAUACAUCUAUGUAGUUUCUCUCUUUUUGAUGUCUUGGGUUGCCAGCAUUUCUCCUAAGGGAAGUAUUACUGGGAAGUAGAUGUGUCUGAGAAGAUCGCCUGGAUCCUGGGGGUGCACAGUAAAGCAAGAAGCCCCAAGAGAAAGGGGAGUUCUGGGUUUGUUUUUGAUCCGAAUGUAUAUCUUCCAGAUGUUUACUCCAGAUACAACCCUCAAUUUGGCUACUGGGUUGUUGGGUUACAGAAUGAAUCUGGUUAUAAGGUUUUUGAGGAGUCUUCCACCUUUGAUCCCAAGGUCUUGACUCUUUGCAUGACUGUCCCUCCCCGUAUUGGGGUUUUCCUAGACUAUGAAGCAGGCAUUGUCUCAUUUUUCAAUAUCGCAAACCAUGGGUCACUCAUCUACGAGUUUUCUAGAUGUCAGUUUUUUCAGACUACUUAUCCGUAUUUUAAUCCUUGGAAUUGUCCAGUCUCCAUCAUCCUGUGCCCACCAAGCUCCUGAACCUCUUGGCACCCCCCUCACUUUUGUGUAGUGCUCCUUGUCCUUGGGGCUCAUCUCCUACACCUGAGCUCAUAUGCACCAUUCUGAAACCUCUUCCUUCUUUUCUCCAUCUUUUAUUUUAGAAUGUCUUUGGAAGAGUCUGCUAGCACUGCUGUAACAAAUUUCCACAGAGUGGGUGGCUUAAACAACAGAAAUUUCUUGUCUCACAGUUGUGGAGGCUGGAAGUCUAACACCAAGGUGUCAGCAAAGUUGGCUUUUUUCUGAGGGCUGUGAGGGAAGGGUCUGUUCCUUGCAUUGUAGGUGGCUGUCUUCUCUCUGUGUCUAUUCAUAUCACCUUCCCACCGUUGCAUGUCUCUGUGUCUAAAUCUCCCCUUUUCUAAGGACACUAAUCAGAUUGGAGCAGGGCCCAUCCUAAUUACAUCAUUUGACUUAAUCACCCCUGUAAAGACCCUCUCUCCAAAAGAUCACACUCUGAAAUAUUGGGGGUUAGGAUUGUAACAUAUGAACUUAAGGGGAACACAAGUCAACUCAACAGUCUUUUGCAUGUCUUUGCCAUGCAGCGAAAGCUUUAACCUUUUUCUACAUAAUAUUUUGUUCUCACUAGGAAAUAAUAUUUUUUUUCUUAUUCGUUUUUGUUUAUUAUGAGGAGAGGAUGCUUAUUUGCAAAGGGAACACAUGUAAUCCUUUCUGUAGAAAGACCAGUAUUGCUGUACCACAUCUGACAUCUCUUUUCCUCAUUCCCUCUGCUGUUUAAUGGAAUUAACAAGGAAAACUUAUCAAUUCUACCCCUAUACAUAGGACUUAGGACAGUGCAUAGGAAUCUGUCAUUUGGUAGUGAAUCCUUCAGAGUGUGUUGCUUUACAAUGGCACCCCUUUAUAUGACGGAGUUAAAGCAGAAGUGCACAAAUAAAAUAUUUACCAAGAGUGGAUUUUUGGUGCUCAGAGUUUCUGAGGUCAAAUCUCAUGUCUUUACUUACAAGUUGUGUAAACUUGAACAAGUUACUUAGCACCUCUUGGUCUCAUUUUCCUAAAAUAAAAAAUUCAUGUUAAAGAUUGUACCUACUUCCUAGGGUCACUUUGAGAAACCAAAUUUUAUUAGAUGUGAAGCACUUAUCUAAGAGUCUUACAUGAAAGAGUAAACAUUUGUUAUUGCUGAAAAAAUAUAAGCUGUAUUAAUGAGGAACAAUUUUUUGUUUUGUUCUGGUUUGGUUUUGCUUUAAUAAAAUGAUAAUUGGCUCACUGAAGUCUCAUUUCCCAGAUUCCAAAACUCCACUGCAGACAAUAUGAGUUUUCAUGUUGUGUCGUGUAGAGAGCGUCAUGUCUAGGCUCAGCUGUGCUGAUGAAAGACAGCCUUCUGGUGUUCAGUCCUUGUCCUUGUGGUGAAACAUCUGAGUAUGCCUCUGCAUUUACCACCCUAUGCACUCUUCUUCUCCUUCUCCUCCUCCUCCUCCUCUCCCUUCUCUUCCCACUCCCCAUCUCCUCCCCCCUCCUUCUUCCUCCUCCUCUUUCUCUUCCUCCCUCUCCCUCCUCCUUCUUCUCCUUCUUUUUCUUCUUCUUCCUCUUCUUUGUCAGAAUAUGAAAUGAAGAAUAGAACUACCUAGGAUAGUGAAGACACAGAUUGCUCUUUGAGAAGCAUGCAUUAUAAAAUAGAGCAGACUAUGCCACUGUACAAAAUUUGAAUCAAGAUUCACAGGACUUUAGAGAAAGAUGCAUACCUUGGCCAUGCUGGAUGAAAAUGAAAGUGUCUGGCGCGGGAUCAAUAUUUAUAUGUCUGUCUAUAUACACACAUGCAUACACACGCAUGUACACCUAUGGGUAUAUAUACCUGUAACCUUUUGUAUAAAUACGUGAAUAUAUAUUAACAUCGUUCUGGUUAGUCUUUACAAAUAUCCUAAGAGGAAGAAAUUUAUAUCAGGAGAUUAAAAGGGUUUACAAACGGAAGAAAAAAAUUCUAGAAGUUUGUAAGCUGUUAGAAUUUUCCCCUAAGGUUUCAAGGCUAAUGAGUGACAGAGGCAAGAUUAGUACCAGCUGUGUGCUACUCCUACACCUGUGUGCUCUCCUCUGCACCACACCACAGAGAAGGCAGCAACUUGACUCCCAGGGAUAUGGGGAAGGAGGGAGAGCCAGAAAAUGCUGUCUGCAGGAGGAGCCUGGCCAUCUUAGGGCAAACCUUAGGUGCCAUGAAAUUCAAUUUGAUAUGCUCAAUCCAUAUAGCCCAAAUGAGACAGUAGUAGGUCAUAGAUAAUAUUAUGCUGAGCUUCUUCAUGGCCACCAUGCCACUGUGGAUGACAUGAAGAAAAUGUCCCCACCUUUUAAUGUAGACGGUGAACACUAUAAUUGGACAGUUACAAAGCUGGACUCUGAAAACAGACCAAAUUUUGUGUAAUGAUGAUAUAAUCCCUUUGUGGCCCUUAUCAAAUUAACUAAUUUUUAUUGGAUUCAAUUUUUCAUGUAUAAAACAAAUAAAAAUAGUAAAACUUUCCUGAUGGGGAUGUUGUAGAAAUUAAAUAAGAGGUUAGUUGUGAUAACCUGCUGUUUUCUAGCAUGUAAGCAUUGACCCAGAGUGUGCCUAUUGAUGCUUUUUAUUGAUUUAUUUUCCGACUUGAAAUAAAUGAUUUUAAGAAAGCACAUUCAUUCAUUUUAAAAUAAUUAACUUUGCUUUCAAGAAAUAGGAUAGUUUGAGUAAAGAAUCAGUGUUUAAAAUUUUUUUCUAUCCAGUUAAAAAAAUAUUACAUUAUUGUAAAAAUUACUUCAUUCUCAUCACCUCCUGUAAUUGUAAUAGCCUCUUUAACUUAAUAGACUACACAAAAUUGUAUUUAUUUUCUCCUGCUAUGUAACAAACUAUCACAAAUUUAGUGGUAGGUUUAGAUUUUAGGCUUAAAAGAAUACCCAAUUAUUAUGUCAUGGUUUCUGUGGAUCAGGAGUCUGGGUAAAGUUUUUCUGGGUUCUCUCCUUUAGGGUCUCACCGGAAUAUGCUCAAGGUGCCAGCUGACAUACAGAUGAGAGCAGGGAAGUGGCCUUAUCUAAACUCUUUUCAGAUGUAAACAAGACUAGGAAUUAAGCAGACCCCUGUCUCUAGUAGGGACCAGAUGCUCUUUGCCAAGGUUAGAGUUCAAUGAGAAGAUUAAAGAGAAUCGCACUUUUUAGGCAUUUUAUACAUCCGUGCACUGGUUACUGUGAUCCCUUAUUCCCUGACACCAAAUGAUGAAAAAACAGACACUAUGCUCUGAUUUGGGGUCUGAAGCCACCACCAUUUAAAGAAAAAACUAUUCAGGACACUUGUUAAAGAUGUAAGGUAAGGAGGACUUUAUUCUAGGGGGGCUGCCAGAGUUGAGCCAGAGAGAUUGGCUCAACUCUGAGUACAAUAAAGAAAAGUGGGGAUGUAGAGCCAAGGAACAGGGUCAGAGGUUACUAGAUGGGAUACUAAGGGGCCUGAGUUCAGUUCAGGAGAGAAUCUUUGUCAGCACCCAGGCCUUUGCCUAAACCUGACAAUGGGUAGGUGUCUCUGGGCCCCUACAAACUUCUACUGUGAUGCCCCCCACUGCUGAAGGUAUUAUUGAUAUUGUUAAAUUGUCUGUGUGCACCUUUGCUAGUCUUUGCCCCUGAGCCAUGUUAGGGAUAUUUUUGUGGGGCAUGUGGAGGACUGUAAGCCAACAUGAUUCCUGGGCAGUAGUAAAUGGCCAGGCUAUUUGAUUGGGCUGCUAGAGAACCUGAGCCUGGCAUAUAAAACAAGUUUCCCUGUGGAGAUGGAACAGUUGGAGAAAAAUUAGUUCUGCUCCUAAUAAGUGUUUGUGAUCCAUGUGGAUGCUCAGCAGAGAGGACCUACACUUGGCCAAGGAAACAAUCAAUGAGCAGACCAUGAUUGUCAACUAAAUGUGGAGACUAAAAGUGUCUUCUACCCCAAAGCAAACAGGUUUGUGACCAAUCUUCUCUUGAAUUCAGGUGAGGAUGGCCUUGGAAAAUCUAGGAAAAGCCUACAUGCACAGACUGCCACUGUCAGAAGCAAAUACUGAAAUAGUAUAAAAAGCUUGUCCCUGACUCUGGUCAAGGCUAAAAUCACUGCCCAAGGACAGAAUCCCCAAACUGCCCAAGGGCCAAAUAUAUUCUUGGCCAGUAGAACAUCCUGCCUAACAUCAAACCCCUUGUCCCAUCAGAGCUCUCACUCAGCCCUGUCUACAGUUGACUUUCUUUGUAUUUGUCCUAACACUCCCAUGCAUUCCACUGACUCAAGCCAUGGUAUCCAGGCCCUACAAGGCCAUAUUUGUUUCCUGUUAGGUUUCCUGAGCACUUUGCCUCUGAUAAUGGCCCCGGAUUAGCAGCCCAAGCUACAAAUCAGUGGACCUAAUCAUGGGACACAUGGUGGACUCUUCAUGCUUCAUGCCACACUCAAGCCACAAAGGAAACUGAGUAUUUUAAUGAACAAUUACAGGAUGGAAUUUUGUAGCUGAUGAAGAGAUAAGACAACCCCAGCCUGGACCACACAUCUCAGACAAACAAUCCGGGUUCUCAAAGCAGCGAUUGCCCUAAAGGACAAUUCUCACUUGCACCUCAUGUUUGAUCAGGAUGUCUGCUCCCUUCCUUCAAUUGUACAUCUGUCUUUUAUAACUUUGACAUUUCAAUAUUUGUGGAAGACCUUGCAAAGGCUUUCUAAUCCCUUCAACCCCUUUCUAAAAUUUAUUUAUUUGUUUUGAGAGAGAGCAGAGCCUGACACAAGGCUCAAACUCACGAACUGUGAGAUCAUGACCUGAGCCAAAGUCAAGAGUCAGACGCUUAACUGACUGAGCCACCCAGGCGCCCGUCAGCCCUUUUCUAAAGAUUCAAAUAAGUAAGAGAUUAACAUGACAGCAAGGGAUGAGAGAUCCAAGAUUUUUGUGCUAACCAAUUCUUCAACAUGAUGUGUCUUUCUGAUUAAGUUGUACAAAAAUGUUUUCCUGUAUAAAUGCUUUCGCCCUUCUUGCAUAUAGUCCUUCUAAACUAAAAGGUUUAGAUGAAAAUACAGAAUUAAAAAACGUAAAAGAGACAUACUGAUAGCAACAUGUGAAAAUGAAUAACAAAAACCAGAAAAGAAUCCUAACACUCUGGUACCUUGGGAGGCAUGGGGAAGGGGGAAGGGAAAAACAUCAGUGGUCUUUCAGGUCUUUUAGAACCAGCCCUGGAAGCUUCCCCUUCUUCUUGAAUUAAAACCUUGGGGUGUUGCCUUACUGAGCUGCUGUAAGUGCUUUGGACCCAGAAUGACUGCUGAUCCCGCAGUCACACAACAGAGCACACACAGAUGUCAUUCACAUCACCAGGCUGAUAAACUGAUAUCACACAGAAAUAAGACUGAAACAAACCAUCUGUGGUAGUUCUGAAACCAAGGACUAAACUGAAUUAUUCUGUCUGGACUGGGAACCCCAGGGCAGGAACUCUGUUAGUCUGCAGCCAGAUUAGUAUCUGUCCCCUUGGGGUGCCCUCACAUUGUAAACCCUGUUUUUAGGGAAACCACAUUUGCCCCCGGGAUUAUCCUUCUUGCAUGUGAACCCUGACUAUCCUGACACUGCCUCAGCUCCUCUGAAAGCUUCAGGGUAGCCUUCAGCUGUAUUGUGGCCAAAGCUGUGCUGUGCUUGAAUCAAUGCCUUGGACCAGAUAAGACAAGACCCAUAUAGAAACUUAGUGUGGGGGGUUCACGCCUCAGUGAUGCAGUUGCUUAAGCAUCCAACUCUUGAUUUAGGCACAGGUUAUGAUCUCACAGUUUGUGAGUUCAAGCCCCAUGUCCGCCUCUGCACUGACAGUGUGGAGCUUGCUCUCUCCCUCUCUCUCUGCCCCUCCCUGGCUUGUGCUCUGUCUCUAUCAAAAUAAAUAAAUAAACAUUUAAAAUAAAAAGGAACUUAAGGGGGAAGCUUUCUAGCUCUUUAAAGGAAGCCCUACUGGGUAUGGGACCUCUUUUUCUGACUUGGUAACUGAAGACUCAUGGUUAUAUUCAGUUCUUCAGACAGGUUUCAUCCUUCUCAGAAUAAUCUUGAUCAUUGCCUGGUCCACUGUUGUGUCAGACUCAUUACCCAGUUCUGACAUAACUCCUCAAAGUCUCACCCAUUAGAGUUCAUGAUAAUGUCGUCUGUUUCCAACUUAGGUCCUGAAAAGUCAGGGAGUGAAAUUGAUGAUUUGAGCUCUAGGCUGAAAUCCUAUGUGUAAUUUCUUAGGCCCCUCUACUGGCAGUGACAAAAGCUUCACCUCAUAGGCUGGACGUCACAGGGCAAAAACCUCCUCCCACACCAGACUUGGUACACAGCCAUGCAUGGCAGUCUUGGAAGGGAGUGGCGGUCAAGGACCCGGGCCCCCCACCUCCCCGGCAGGCCAUGUUUUUGGUGCACACCUAUACUGCUAGCCCAGAAGCCUUUGCUUGGAGGUGUCCUUAUUUGGAAACCUGGAAGAUACUGUACUCUGGCUCAACACUCAAUACUUUUCCACUCUUAGCCCUCCUUCCUCAAACUCCUUCAGACCCCAGGGUUCACAAAACUGUAGGAAACUUUUUUUCAGGGUUCCCUUGGCAAUGAGACAACCCCCAGGUCUGUGCUGGUCUAUCUGACCCUGAGCUUGUGCACUCUUCCACAGGGGGAGACCUAAUGAGGAAGUUGGCACUGUUAAAAUCAAUAAUAAACAGACACUCAGCCUUUUCCUAAGCAGGCAAACCAGUUUAGUCAUAUAUAAAGUUUAAUUUAACUUAUUUUGCAAGGCUACCUUGACCUGGGUCAUUUCUUGCUUGUGUUUUUGGAAAGCAGAAGCAAAACUUGAACUGUUUCCCACGGUUGAUAUCAGGUAACCACUGACCAAUUCCCUAUCAUUUAUAAGAAAAUUCUAAUAUUGGGGCACCUGGGUGGCUCAGUUGCUUAAACAGCCAACUUAGGCUCAGGUCAUGAUUUCGAGAUUCAUGAGUUGGAGCCCCUCAUCGGGCUCUGUGUUGACAGCUCAGAGCCUGGAGCCUGCUUCAGAUUCUGUGUCUCCCUCUCUCUCUGCCCCUCCUCUGCUCAUGCUCUCUCUCCCUCUCUCUCUCUCUCUUUUUCUCUCAAAAAUAAACAUUAAAGAAAAGUCUAAUAUUAUAACCAAUCAUUGUGAAGAAUAAACAAUCACUGCCUUCUCACUAGAUGAGCUGCUUUAUAUACUCCCACACCUCAUACCGUGUUUUCGGCUGAGUGCUCUUGGUUUGCAAACUGUAUUUUCUGGUGUAUGCAAAAUAAGCCCUUACUAAUUACUACUUUGGCAAUUCACCGGUUUCAUUUCUGUUAUUUAUACAGCACUUUCCCCUGUUCCAGCCUCUUCCUCAUGCUACUGUAGUAAAUGUUUAUCCUUUUUAUUUUUAAUGUUUUAUUUAUUCUUGAGAGAGAGAGAGAGAACAUGAGCAGGGAAGGGGCAGAGAAGAGCAGAGGAUCUGAAGUGGGAUCUGCGCUGACAGCAGAGAUGUCCCAUUAGGAGCUGGAACUCAUGAAAGGUGAGACCAUGACCUGAGCUGAAGUGGUAACUGACAGAACCACCCACAUGCCCCUGUAGUAAAUGUUUAAAGGCUUCACUGUUACUUUUAUUUUGGCUUGCUGAAUUUAAUCAGCUACGUUGAUGCCUGAUUGUUUAGUCCUCCCUAGUUCAUCAGAGCUGCAGACACUCUCAGAGACCAGGUGUCCGUUCUGGGGCUUUUCCUUCCCCACUGCCUCUGAAUUUUGAGUGGUAAUUACACUAUUCGUGUUUCUGGAUCUUUAGGACUUUGCUGGGACAUUAAUGAAUAAGGUGGGUGACCACAGUGGGAAGUCUGGGUGGGCUCGGGAGAAUCUCAGUGCAUAAGAAGCCUUCAGCUCUCAGGAUUAUCCACCGACAAUGUACCUAGAACCAUCACCAGAAGUGAUCAGACAUCUCUCAAUGUGCUGAUCUGUGAUGCUGUUAUUGAAGACUGGCACGCGGACUGCCCCAUGGUUUUGGGAUUCCAAUGGUUUCCUUUUUGCUCAAGGAUAAUACUGCACAAUCUAAUUGAUCCAGACCCCUAAUCUCUCUAAAUUGUCCAACCCCAAAUCUGUUUUUAAUCUCCAAAGGCCUAAGCCCCUCCCCCUCUGCCAUUCUCUCUGUCCUAUCUCUGUCUCGCCUCCAUCCUCAGCUCUGGUGACUCUCAUCUAGUAGGUUGGGGGUGGUAAGUGUGGCUUCAUUUUUUUACUGAGAGGUGCUUGCUACUAAAACCCUACAGGUACAUUCAUAGACUCUAAGUAUUUUCACUUGUUUUUGAGAAUAUUGGAAAGCAAUAACCCAUAUUGUUUUCAAGGUAUGGAGAAAACAAAUCCUCAUAGCAGAUAAAUAAAUGUUAUUUUUCUUUCUAUCAAACAUGCCAUUAUGCUGAGCAGUCAUCUUCAACAAACAUACAAUUUUAUAACAUUUAUAUUUAAUGUGUAACAGGGGCCUGGGUGGCUUAGUUGGUUAGGCAUCUGACUCUUGAUAUCAGCUCAGGUCAUGAACUCACAGUUCCUGGGAUUGAGCCCUGUGUCGGGCUCUGCGCUGAUAGCAGAGAGCCUGCUUGGGAUUCUUUCUCUCCCUCUCUCUCUGCCCCUGCCCUGCUCUUACACUCAUGUGCAUGUGGUCUCUCUCUCUCUUUCUCUCAUUCCCUCUUUCAAAAUAAAUAAAUAAACUUAAACAAAUAAAAUAAAAUAAAAUAAAAUAAAAUAAAAUAAAAUAUUUUUGGUGUUUAAUAUAGUCUAGCAAAACUAGAAUGAACUGAUGACACAAGGGGCACCUGUGCCCUCACUUUGUUCUCGAUGGUCCCAGGACUUCCUGUUCACUAAGAAACUCAUGCACUGCUAAGUACAGAUAUAUCUUAGUCUCCUUGUUUCUGUCUACCUUCAUUAGGUAUAGUACAAGAAUUUUUUUAAAUAGUUUUUAAAAUUUAUUUUAUAAUUUUAUUUUCUUUUUUAACUGUGUAUUUAUUUUUAGAGAGAGAGUGCAUGCGAGUGGGGUAGGGGUCAAGAAAGAGAGAGAGAGAAUCCCAAGCACGCUGCCAGUGCAGGGCCCUUCAUGGGGCUCAGUCUCACAAACUGAGAUCAUGACCUGAGCUGAAAUCAAAAAGUCAGAACGCUUAACUGGCUGAGCCACCCAGGUGCCCCUGGGAUAAGAAAUUAAAAAAACAAAACAAAA